AUCACACCGUAUCGAAACAAACUUGUCACUGUUCUGUAGCUUGUUGAACGGUAUUACGGGGCGCUAUUUAUUUUGAACUGAUACUGAUACAGAUCCUGCGGAAGGGGUGUUGUGUGCGGUAUGGCGGUUGUGGCCUUUGGCACGGUUGCGGUAGCGAUCUUGUUGGCUACGCUAUUGACGGCUACAACAACGUCUACCAACCCAAGAUCUAUUCCCCCGGGAUUCUUUUUCGCCUGUGCAACGUCUGCCUACCAGGUGGAGGGUGCUUGGAAUGAAGAUGGCAAGGGCGAGAGUGUAUGGGACAACUUCACUCACAAGUACCCUGACAGAGUAAAGGGUAGAGAGACCGGUGACGUGGCGUGUGACUCUUACCACAAAUACAAGGAGGACGUGAGGAUGAUUAAAGAGACGGGGUUCACAAUGUACAGGUUCUCGCUUUCCUGGACCCGAAUUCUCCCAACUGGCUACAACCACACAGUCAACCAGAAGGGGGUGGAUUAUUACCAUCGCUUAAUAGACGAGUUACUGGCCAACGGAAUCCAGCCAAUGGUAACACUAUUCCAUUGGGAUUUACCGCAGAGCCUACAGAACAUUGGUGGUUGGACCAACCCCGCCAUGCCGGACUACUUCAAAGAUUUUGCCGACAUCGCCUUCCGAGAAUACGGAGAUAAGGUUAAAUGGUGGAUUACAAUCAAUGAGAUAGAACUCCUGUCACAGUACGCGUACGGGGAGGCUCGGCACGCCCCUGGACUGGGUGAUCACGGCGUGUACGACUACUUGUCUACGCAUCACAUGCUCAGAGGUCACGCCAAGGUUUAUAGACACUAUCAGUCCGUCUACAAACCUCGGCAGCAGGGUAAAGUGAGUCUGGCUCAUGCUGCGUUUUACAUGAUACCUUUUGAUGAAACUUCCUCAGAGGAUCAGGCGGCGGCUGAGAGAGCUAAUCAGUUUCAUACGGAAAUGUACACCCACCCAAUUUUCUCAAGUGAAGGAGAUUAUCCUCAGUUCGUCAGGGAUCGCGUGGACCAUAACAGUAAAUUGGAAGGAAGGAAAAAUUCCAGGCUACCUUACUUUACAGCACAAGAAAUAGAAGAACUGAAAGGGAGCUUCGAUUUCUUUGGCCUCAAUCACUACUACAGUUACGUUGUGACAUCAGGGACACCGGAGCCUAAUCCUUCUAUAAACAGGGAUGCUGGAGUCACGAUUCCAGAUUAUAAGACGCUAACAUCGCUGAUAAGUUAUCACGUUUCCAGCUAUAUCCUGUAGGCCUCAGACGUCUCCUGAACUUUAUCAGGACUAAAUACGACAACCCACCAGUCUUUAUAACAGAAAGUGGAUGUGAAGACAGCAGCGAGUUCUACGACACGACCAGGAUUGAAUAUUUCCAUAACUAUGUGGAGCAAGUACUAUUAGCCAUCAACGAAGACGGAUGUAAUGUUAUCGGCUACACAGCUUGGUCACUCAUGGACAACUUUGAGUGGAACAGAGCGUACUC
rnacentral:misc_RNA from 1 species